AGGCCCACAGCCCAAAUCCCACCACACUGCGCUGCAGAGCUGAGCUUGGCGCCUGGGGACCCUUAGAGGAAACAUGGUUCCUGGCAGAAGGUGCCAGAUCUCCAAACACAGCCAGGGCUCCAUUGGGCAAGAUGCUUCUCCAUAUUCCAGUCCUGAGGCAAUCUCCUCGGUCAAGUGCCAACAUCAACAGACACCCACUGGCAGGGGUCAUCCAGGCUUCAGACCCGUGACCUGGUACCACUGAGCAGCUGGGGACUUCAGGGGCCACUUCAUAUGCAGCCUCCACUUAUUUACCUGUGAGAUGAGAGCAGCAAGCUCUUUUCCAAGCUGGUUGCUGGCAAAGGCAUGUGAGAGCUUGCAGGAUGAUGUGCUGGGCCAGAGUGAGGCUCAAAACAAGGACAUGAGCCUGUUACCGUCCAGUUAUCGAUCGUUAACUUCUUUAGCAGGCUUGUCUGAAUGCUUGGGCACAAUGGUAACACAGAACCGUGAUUUCUGUCCCCCAAGGUGGGCACAGAGGAGUCAUGAAUGUACCAGGGAUGUAAAAGGGUCCCUUCUGCAACUCGGUGCUGGGUUGGUGGAGGUGGUGGAUUACAGAACUUAGUUAUGGACACCAGAUACAGGAAGUGCACCUGGGCUGUUACUAGCUUCCUGUUCCUGCUUCUCUGAGCCUUAGUUUCCCUAAAUGGAGUGGAGGUGAGGCUGGUCGUGACAUCUCAUAGAGUCCUGAAUGGAGGGUGUUAACACGGUGCCUAAUA